CCCAAGUACUCUCGUACUACUCCCAAGGCCACACGCAGCUUCAGGACAGCUUUGCGGGUCACAAGGAAUCUACUCCUAACUCCCAUUGUAGCUACCAUGUAGCCCAUCUGCUGAGCACCUACUAUGAGCCCUUGAACUUUACUGAGUGUUCAUCCGAAUGACAGUUUUGAAGACAACUGGCCCGGGACAGGUCAUUUUACGACUCUCCUACAUCAGGAGCGUCUCUCAGCCUCAGCCCUCCGCACCUGUUCACACAAGCGUCUCCCUGGGCAAAGCAAACACCUAUUUUGGAGUGAGCACUCCUUCCCUGUGGCCCCGGCCAAUUCCCACACUAUUCUCAAGCCACCAUCUUUCAGAAUGUGACCCUUCGGAUCAGACCCACCCCUGCCCCAGGACAGAGAAGAUAAGCAUCACGGAGCAGACCGAUUGACCUGCCCUAGGCAGUAGCCCCCAGAUGCUGCCCUGUGUGCUUACGGGACUGCAGGAGUACCGCCAGGGAGAUGGAGUAAUCAACUCUCUCUCCCAUGAGGCAACUGCACAGUGGUCGUGUCUAGAAAAGAAAAAAUGUCAUUACUGCCCAUGGGAGAGUGUAAUGACCCAAAUUAUGGCCUGUCAGAUGAGGCAACGCUUAGCCCAGGGAGUACGCCGCAGCACACAGGGCUCACAGAGCAGGUGAGGGAAGAAAUGUGCCUCUGGGUAGCCUAUGGGAGGUGGGAGCCUGGGCCCCGCAGGCCAGGUGCAGACAUCUGUUUCCCCAUCCCGUAACUGUGAAAGCCCUUCGGCUCCUCCCUGGGAGACUACAAGGAUGGAGCACAGCUGGGGUGGGAAAAGACAUGGGAUGGAAUAUACAGCAGCCACCUUUUAGGCAAGGUCAUGUGGCUACUAAACCUCCUGUGGACCAGAAUGAUUAAAGGACAUUACUUCCUU